GAAUUUAUCUUUAAAGAAAUAAUAUUUCACCUAGGGAUUGGAAUAUGCUCUAUUAGCUAGUUGGUGAGAUAAAAGCCCACCAAGGCAAUGAUAGAUAGCUGGUCUAAGAGGAUGAACAGCCACAAUGGGAUUGAGAUACGGCCCAUAUUCCUACGGGAAGCAGCAGUAGGGAAUCUUCCACAAUGGGCGAAAGCCUGAUGGAGCAAUGCCAUGUGAAUGAUGAAGGCCUUAUUGGUCGUAAAGUUCUUUUAGGGGGGAAAACUCGGAUGGUACCCCCUGAAUAAGUGACAGCAAACUAUGUGCCAGCAGCUGCGGUAAUACAUAGGUCGCGAGCGUUAUUCGGAUUUAUUGGGCGUAAAGCAAGCGCAGGCGGAUGGAUAAGUUCUGUGUGAAAAGCAGCUGCUCAACAGCUGUUUGCGCCGAAUACUAUCCAUCUAGAAUACGGUAGGAAGUUUUGGAAUUGAAUAUGGAGCGGUGGAAUGUGUAGAUAUAUUCAAGAACACCAGAGGCGAAGGCGAAAACUUAGGCCGCUAUUGACGCUUAGGCUUGAAAGUGUGGGGAGCAAAUGGGAUUAGAUACCCCAGUAGUCCACACCGUAAACGAUGGGUAUUAAAUGUUGGGGCUGGUGCCUCAGCGUUGUAGCUUACGUGUUAAAUACCCCGCCUGGGUAGUACAUAUGCAAAUAUGAAACUCAAAGGAAUUGACGGGGACCUGAACAAGUGGUGGAACAUGUUGCUUAAUUCGAUAAUACACGAAAAACCUUACCAAGAUUUGACAUCCCUCGCGAAGCUUUAGAGAUAAAGUGAAGGUUAUCGAGGUGACAGGUGGUGCAUGGUUGUCGUCAGCUCGUGUCAUGAGAUGUUGGGUUAAGUCCCGCAACGAGCGCAACCCUACUCUCUAGUUGUUUGUUUAGAGAGACUGAACAGUAAUGUAUAGGAAGGUCGGGAUCACGUCAAAUCAUCAUGCCCCUUAUGUCUUGGGCCGCAAACGUGUUACAAUGGCGAGCACAGCGUGUCGCAAAUCAGCGAUGGUAAGCUAAUCACUAAAAACUCGUCUCAGUCCGGAUAAAAGGCUGCAAUUCGCCUUUUUGAAGUUGGAAUCACUAGUAAUCCCGUGUCAGCUAUAUCGGGGUGAAUACGUUCCCAGGUCUUGUACACACCGCCC
rnacentral:rRNA from 1 species